UGGGGAAUUUUGCACAAUGGGCGCAAGCCUGAUGCAGCCAUGCCGCGUGUGUGAAGAAGGCCUUCGGGUUGUAAAGCACUUUCAGCGGGGAGGAAGGCGAUAAGGUUAAUAACCUUGUCGAUUGACGUUACCCGCAGAAGAAGCACCCGCUAACUCCGUGCCAGCAGCCGCGGUAAUACGGAGGGUGCAAGCGUUAAUCGGAAUUACUGGGCGUAAAGCGCACGCAGGCGGUCUGUCAAGUCGGAUGUGAAAUCCCCGGGCUCAACCUGGGAACGGCAUUCGAAACUGGCAGGCUAGAGUCAUGUAGAGGGGGGAGGAAUUCCAGGUGUAGCGGUGAAAUGCGUAGAGAUCUGGAGGAAUACCGGUGGCGAAGGCGGCCCCCUGGGCAAAGACUGACGCUCAGGUGCGAAAGCGUGGGGAGCAAACGGG
rnacentral:rRNA from 1 species